UACGGAGGGGGCUAGCGUUGUUCGGAAUUACUGGGCGUAAAGCGCACGUAGGCGGCUUUGUAAGUUAGAGGUGAAAUCCCGGGGCUCAACCCCGGAACUGCCCUUGAAACUGGAGAGCUAGAAUCUUGGGGAGGCGAGUGGAAUUCCGAGUGUAGAGGUGAAAUUCGUAGAUAUUCGGAAGAACACCAGUGGCGAAGGCGACUCGCUGGACAAGUAUUGACGCUGAGGUGCGAAAGCGUGGGGAGCAAACAGG
rnacentral:rRNA from 1 species